GUUCCCGUCAUCAUUGGCCCAUAGCUUUACACCUGAUCUGUUUAUAAAAAGAAAAAAAAAAUCUUCAAAAUUUCGUACUGAUAUUCUCGUUAUCUAGGUGUUAAAACAGAAUUUAGGUUUUGUUACAUAUGAGCUUGAGAUACAUGAGCAGGGUGGUGUUCCAGGCAGGGAUGCGAGUGGUACAGGGCAUGAAAGAUCAGACUUUCAAGUGUGAUUCAACUGUCAAGUCUUUGAAAGACUCUGUUUAUUCUUCUUCUUCAAAGCAGACCCGGCGUUUCUCUGGUGCUGUUAAUUCUGGUGAUUUUAAGGCUGCCAAAAACGAUCAGAAGCUUAAGCAGGCUGAGGAGUCUCUCAGAACUGUUAUGUACUUGAGUUGCUGGGGUCCUAAUUAGAAGAAGCUGCUAGGGGACUAUGUAAUUUAUGUUUAUGAAUCCUUAUUACUUUGAAAAUAUUUGUAAAUUGUAAUUGCCCAUCUGUAUACACACAUAUAUGUAUGAAUAUAAUUGUAAAAUUUUAC
rnacentral:misc_RNA from 1 species